UGAAUGGGGAAAACGGGCUUUGGAAAAAGUGACUUUGGAGGCAUUGGAGUCCAGGUAACGGCCCGAGUUGUGUCCUCAGUCGCAUUGGCACGGUCCCCCUGGAAUUAAGAAGGUGGAUUUGAAACUGGGAAGACAGUUCAUUCAGCCCAAGGCUCAUUAACUUCUGGUGCUGAGGAGAUAUUACCAACACCACAAGUGGAUGGUUCAACAUGAGAUAUUGUACGAGGACCUUCACCAGGAGAGGGGUUUGCUGACACCCUGACAGCUCAUGUUUUGACUGCUGAUGGACGGUGUCUUGCAGAGCCAGCUACACCCCACCGAGCUCCCACCAGAUAAGAACCUCUGAUGUAUUCUUCUCUCCAAACACUGCCACUUUUAGCUCUUUCCUAUGUGCCACCAAAAACCAGCUUGCAUCCUGCCUAUGGGAGCUGUU
rnacentral:lncRNA from 1 species